UACGUAGGGUGCAAGCGUUUGUCCGGAAUUAUUGGGCGUAAAGAGCUCGUAGGCGGUCUGUCGCGUCGGCUGUGAAAUCCCCGAGGCUCAACCUCGGGUCUGCAGUCGAUACGGGCAAACUAGAGUAUUGCAGGGGAGACUGGAAUUCCUGGUGUAGCGGUGAAAUGCGCAGAUAUCAGGAGGAACACCGGUGGCGAAGGCGGGGUCUCUGGGCAAUAACUGACGCUGAGGAGCGAAAGCGUGGGGAGCGAACAGG
rnacentral:rRNA from 1 species